UACGAAGGGUGCAAACGUUGCUCGGAAUUAUUGGGCGUAAAGCGCACGUAGGCGGCUUUGCAAGUCGGAUGUGAAAUCCCUCGGCUCAACCAAGGAAGUGCAUCCGAAACUGCAGAGCUUGAGUACUUAAGAGGAUCGCGGAAUUCCCGGUGUAGAGGUGAAAUUCGUAGAUAUCGGGAGGAACACCAGUGGCGAAGGCGGCGAUCUGGGAAGAUACUGACGCUGAGGCGCGACAGCGUGGGGAGCAAACAGG
rnacentral:rRNA from 1 species